CUCACAUUCCUCCAAGACACCCCAGCCCUGAAACAAGAGACCAUGUUGAGCUCAUCGCCAGGCACAGAAGUUAGAGGAGUUAAACAACACGAGAAAAAAGACAACCGUUGGGUUGAGGCUGAUCAAGGGUUAAGUUAAGGAGGAAGCAAACCGACUGUCGGCGUCCUGACUGGUGCCUGUAGUUUCCUCCCCACACACGUCUGUCGCUUGCUACCCGCUGCCCAACAGACGCCGUGCUCUUUAAAGUUAACGAGCCCCUCGCUACCCUGCCAUCCGGGAGCUGUCCUGGGAUGUGUGUGUAACUCUACUCUCUCUCUGACUAUGCUCUGACCACCAGCUGCCUCAAGAACGGAGGACCUACAGCAGCACCUAGAUCUUCUGCACAGAUUCUGUCAGACCUGGGCCCUGACAGUAAAUCUCACAUCAGUAGAACACGGCUGACUCUCCUCCACCAGUCAUACAAGGAGAAUGGUCUAAUGCCUCCCAUCAAAAAGAGAGCUGGCCCAAGCAAGCACAGGUUACACCUGAAGCAUGAGGACUUGCAGGGAGUGGCGAACUUCAUCAACAUCUACGCAGAGGAUAACGCAAGAGUAUUACCAGGAUGCCUCCCAGGACACAAACACUUUGGUGGAAAACUGCUGCCAUCCCAUGUGACAAAAGCAGCAGUGUGGCGUUUCUACAAGGAAUCGAUGACAACACUUGAUAUCUAAAACAUAAACAACACGUUUUGAUUAUUUAAUUGACCUCCAACAUGAUUGGUACUACUUUUACUGAUCUCACCUUACUUCUGUAUUUUCCAGAGGAAAAUGUAGUCAGGCUGUGUGUUAUCAUCUUAACUCCCAGUUUCCAAGAUAAUAUUUCUGUAUGCAGUGCUGUUGCUCUGCACAUUUGUAGACCAUAUGCAGCCAGGUCCCAUAUGCUUUUGAACUCCUCGCAAGUGUGUCUUGCUUGGGGUCUGUUGUGAAGGAAUUCCAAACAAGUCAACUACUUGAUUAAUGAAGGCAUGUCCUCCAGCAAAGGCAGCAGUGCAGUAAUCAACUACAUGCACCAUUUUUUCACCACGGAGUUGAGGAAACACGUGUGGACCUGAAUUGUGAUAACUGCUGUGGCCAAAUCAAGAACAAGUUUGUGCUCUGGUAUUGUACCUGGCGGACCAUGCACAAGCUCCACCACAGUUUGGGCCUUAACUUCCUGAUCACAGGCCACACCAAGUGUGCCCCCGACUAGUGCUUCGGCCUCAUCAAACAGCACUUCAGAAAGACCAGAGUGAACACUUUGUCUGAGAUUGCUGGUGUUGUGAAGGACAGCACUGUGACAGGGGUCAACAUCCCACAGCUGGUUAGACUGGAGAAUGGUACGGUGCUGGUAAAAAGCUAUGGCUGGCAACAGCACCUGACUCCAUACUUCAGGCCACUGCCACAGUUCAAGUAGUACCAGCACUUCAGCUUCAAUGCUCUGGAGCCUGGUGUUGUUGUCGCCAAGGAGCGUUCGGACUCAGUCAGGACCAGGUUUCAGCUGCUGCGCAACACUGACAUCCUUCUUCCCAUAGAUGGUCUGCCUUACCAGGACCACCUGGACUGGACACAGCUAGAUAAACUUGUGUUUUUGAGAAGAUCAAAAACAUACGUUUUUGAUCUUAGAUUCCCGUUGUUCAUGCAUGGUUCGGCUGGACCAGUCAUCAGCACUAUAUGCAGUGCCUCUAUUCAAAUGACUCUCUCCUAACACACACGUCAUACGUCGAUGCUACUAUUUUUUUAUCCUGCUGCUUAGCCACUUGCAUAACUACCUCAUCUAUCACUGAUAUUGUUUUUGAUAUUGUUCUUGUACAUACUGUAUAUUGUUUUACUGAUACUGACGCUAUCUAUUUCUGAUAUUAAUACUAUGCAAGUAACCAUUAGGCUGUACCAUUUACACCUUCUGUAGAGACCCAUCCACUUGGCAUUAUGUGACUGGGGGUUAUAGCAUUUCUUUCACAUGACCCAUCAAUUUAGACAAGUGUGUCUGGGUAAGCGUCAUGUAAUAUUUAUCAAAUAUUUUUCUCUGGACACUUUCUGCUUACUGUUCAGUACAUGACUUCACAUGUGAAUCCUUAAAGAGAUGGGUGGGGCUGGCUUAACAGGAUGUGAACAAUUCUGAAUGGGUGCAGACAAAGGAGAGAUCUCCAGUAUGUAUCAAAACAUUCAAAGGCUAUUUUCUCAAAAGUGAGUUUACAAUAAAUUCUACAACCACCUAAAAGGAAGCAAUUCCCAAACCUUCCAUAACAAAGCCAUCACCUACAGAGAGAUGAACCUGGAGAAGAGUCCCCUAAGCAUGCUGAUCCUGGGGCUCUGUUCGAAAAAACAAACAAAAUAAACACACCCCACAGAGCCCCAGGACAGCAACACAAUUGGACCCAACCAAAUCAUGAGAAAACAAAAAGAUAAUUACUUGACACAUUGGAAAGAAUUAACAAAAAACAGAGCAAACUAGAAUGCUACUUGGCCCGAAACAGAGACUACACAGUGGCAGAAUACCUGACCAAUGUGACUGACCCAAACUUAAGGAAAUCUUUGACUAUGUACAGACUCAGAAAGGCAGCCGUAGGCAGACCAGGCUCUCAAGAGAAGACGGACUAUGUGCAGACCGCACACAAAAGGAGGUGGAAACUGAGAUGCACUUCCUAACUUCCUGCCAAAUGACCACAUUAGAAACACAUAUUUCCCUCAGAUUACACAGACACACAAAGAAUUUGAAAACAAACCCAGUUUUUAUCAACUUCUAUAUCUAUUGGGUGGACCACACCACAGUGUGCCAUCACAGCAACACGAUGUGUGACCUACUGCCACAAGAAAAGGGCAACCAGUGAACAAAAAAACACCAUUCUAAAUACAACCCAUAUUUAUGUUUAUUUAUUUUCUAAUUUGUAACUAUUUUCACUUAAUAUGACAUUUGAAAUGUCUUUAUUCUUUUGGAACUUUUGUGAGUGUAAUGUUUACUGUACAUUUGUAUUGUUUGUUUCACUUUUGUUUAUUAUCUCCUUCACUUGCUUUGGCAAUGUUAACAUAUGUUUCCCAAGCCAAUAAAGCCCUUAAAUUAAAGUGAA
rnacentral:lncRNA from 1 species